rnacentral:rRNA from 1 species
CGAGUUUCCUCCCUGUUCGACUUGUUGGUCUCACAGUCAAGCUUGCUUCUGCUUUUACACUCGUCGGCUGAUUUCCAACCUGUACCCGAAACCGACACAGGUGGGGUGGUAGAGAAUACCGAGGGGCGCGAGGUAACUCUCUCUAAGGAACUCGGCAAAAUGGCCCCGUAACUUCGGGAGAAGGGGUGCCACCGCAAGGUGGUCGCAGUGAAGAGGCCCAGGCGACUGUUUACCAAAAACACAGGUCUCCGCUAAGUCGCAAGACGAUGUAUGGGGGCUGACGCCUGCCCAGUGCCGGAAGGUUAAGGAAGCUGGUCAGCGCAAGCGAAGCUAGCGACUGAAGCCCCGGUGAACGGCGGCCGUAACUAUAACGGUCCUAAGGUAGCGAAAUUCCUUGUCGGGUAAGUUCCGACCCGCACGAAAGGCGUAACGAUCUGGGCGCUGUCUCGGAGAGAGGCUCGGCGAAAUAGAAUUGUCUGUGAAGAUGCGGACUACGUGCACCCGGACAGAAAGACCCUAUGAAGCUUUACUGUAGCUUGGUAUUGUGCCCGGGCUCGCAAUGCGCAGGAUAGGUGGGAGGCUUUGAUCAUCGGCUUGCGGGUCGAUGUGAGCCAACGGUGAGAUACCACUCUUUGCGAGCUAGGGUUCUAACGGCCACCCGUCAUCCGGGGGCCGGACAGUACCUGGUGGGCAGUUUGACUGGGGCGGUCGCCUCCUAAAAGGUAACGGAGGCGCGCAAAGGUUUGCUCAGGCUGGUUGGAAAUCAGCCGACGAGUGUAAAAGCAGAAGCAAGCUUGACUGUGAGACCAACAAGUCGAACAGGGAGGAAACUCGGCUUUAGUGAUCCGACGGUUCUGAGUGGAAGGGCCGUCGCUCAACGGAUAAAAGUUACUCUAGGAUAACAGGCUGAUCUCCCCCAAGAGUUCACAUCGACGGGGAGGUUUGGCACCUCGAUGUCGGCUCAUCGCAACCUGGGGCUGAAGUCGGUCCCAAGGGUUGGGCUGUUCGCCCAUUAAAGCGGUACGCGAGCUGGGUUCAGAACGUCGUGAGACAGUUCGGUCCAUAUCCGGUGCACGCGCAGGAAUAUUGAGAGGAUUUCUCCCUAGUACGAGAGGACCGGGAGGAACGCACCUCUGGUGUACCAGUUAUCGUGCCAACGGUAAACGCUGGGUAGCCAUGUGCGGAGUGGAUAACCGCUGAAAGCAUCUAAGUGGGAAGCCCACCUCAAGAUGAGUAUUCCCAUGGCGUAAGCCAGUAAGGUCACGGGAAGAACACCCGUUGAUAGGCUCUAUGUGGAAGCGCAGUAAUGCGUGAAGCAGAGGAGUACUAAUAGACCGAGGGCUUGAC